UACGGAGGGGGCUAGCGUUGUUCGGAAUUAUUGGGCGUAAAGCGCGCGUAGGCGGCUUUGUAAGUCAGAGGUGAAAGCCUGGAGCUCAACUCCAGAACUGCCUUUGAAACUACAUCGCUAGAAUCAUGGAGAGGUUAGUGGAAUUCCGAGUGUAGAGGUGAAAUUCGUAGAUAUUCGGAAGAACACCAGUGGCGAAGGCGACUAACUGGACAUGUAUUGACGCUGAGGUGCGAAAGCGUGGGGAGCAAACAGG
rnacentral:rRNA from 1 species